rnacentral:rRNA from 1 species
CAUUGUAGGCUUUGGAAACUGUUUAACUUGAGUGCAGAAGGGGAGAGUGGANUUCCAUGUGUAGCGGUGAAAUGCGUAGAUAUAUGGAGGAACACCGGUGGCGAAAGCGGCUCUCUGGUCUGUAACUGACGCCGAGGCUCGAAAGCGUGGGGAGCGAACAGGAUUAGAUACCCUGGUAGUCCACGCCGUAAACGAUGAGUGCUAGGUGUUAGGUCCUUUCCGGGACUUAGUGCCGUAGCUAACGCAUUAAGCACUCCGCCUGGGGAGUACAACCGCAAGGUUGAAACUCAAAGGAAUUGACGGGGGCCCGCACAAGCGGUGGAGCAUGUGGUUUAAUUCGAAGCAACGCGAAGAACCUUACCAGGUCUUGACAUCCCGAUGCUAUUUCUAGAGAUAGGAAGUUUCUUCGGAACAUCGGUGACAGGUGGUGCAUGGUUGUCGUCAGCUCGUGUCGUGAGAUGUUGGGUUAAGUCCCGCAACGAGCGCAACCCUUAUUGUUAGUUGCCAUCAUUGAGUUGGGCACUCUAGCGAGACUGCCGGUAAUAAACCGGAGGAAGGUGGGGAUGACGUCAAAUCAUCAUGCCCCUUAUGACCUGGGCUACACACGUGCUACAAUGGCUGGUACAACGAGUCGCAAGCCGGUGACGGCAAGCUAAUCUCUGAAAGCCAGUCUCAGUUCGGAUUGUAGGCUGCAACUCGCCUACAUGAAGUCGGAAUCGCUAGUAAUCGCGGAUCAGCACGCCGCGGUGAAUACGUUCCCGGGCCUUGUACACACCGCCCGUCACACCACGAGAGUUUGUAACACCCGAAGUCGNUG